rfam:Gossypium hirsutum cultivar TM-1 unplaced genomic scaffold scaffold1193.1, whole genome shotgun sequence
AAUGCCUCUCGAAUAACCAGAAGGUUAGAUUGUAAUCCAACGCCGUUUGGUUCAGACAGAGGCUGAGAUCAACUCGAACCAGUUUGAGGGUAAGGAACGAUUUUCCUCCGUUCCUUUCCUAGAUUGUUUUCGUACAUUC